AAGGGUCAUAUGAUGAUCAUAAGCAUAGUUCAGAUGAUUUAUCUGUGAUUAUAUUUAUUUAGUUUUAGUCUUUCGCUCCUAUCUAAUGACCCUU
rnacentral:snoRNA from 1 species